rnacentral:rRNA from 1 species
CUAGCCAUAAACCUUGAUAGUAAAUAACCCACUAUCCGCCAGAGAACUACCAGCAAAAAGCUCAAAACUCAAAGGACUUGACGGUGUCCCAAACCGACCUAGAGGAGCCUGUCCUAUAAUCGAUAACCCACGUUACACCCGACCUGCCCUAGCAACCACAGCCUAUAUACCGCCGUCUCUUGCCCACCUAAUGAUAGACACCCAGUGAGCACAACAGUUUCACACUAAAACGUCAGGUCAAGGUGUAGCUAAUGAGCAGGAAGAGAUGGGCUACAUUUUCUCACCACCAGAAAAAACCACCAGCACCAUGAAAUACCUGCAACCAAGGAGGAUUUAGCAGUAAGCCUGGCAAGACCCGUCAGCCAGACUGAAGCCCAGCUCUGGGACA